AAAAGCUCGGGGAUGACUUGUGGGUAGCGGUGAAAUUCCAAUCGAGCCCGGAGAUAGCUGGUUCUCCCCGAAAUAGCUUUAGGGCUAGCCUCAAGGUGAGAGAUACGGAGGUAGAGCACUGAAUGUCCUAGGGGGUAUUGCACCUACCGAAGACUAUCAAACUCCGAAUGCCGUCAUCUUAUACUUGGGAGUCAGACUGUGGGUGAUAAGAUUCAUAGUCGAAAGGGCAACAGCCCAGAUCGUCAGCUAAGGUCCCUAAAUGUAAGUUAAGUGGUAAAGGAUGUGGGAUUGCACAGACAACCAGGAUGUUGGCUUAGAAGCAGCCACUCAUUCAAAGAGUGCGUAAUAGCUCACUGGUCGAGUGAUCCUGCGCCGAAGAUUUCCGGGGCUAAAAC
rnacentral:rRNA from 1 species